UCCCUGGAGCCUGGCCUUCUCCUUCGUAUUUCAUCCAGGGUUCUUCUCCACACCCGACGGAGAUUGAGGCAACAUCUAAUUGUAAUGCUUGCUCCGAGGAUGAGGAAGGAUGAGGAUUUUUACUUGUUCACAAAUUGCAUCUGAGGCUCAUUCAGGCAUGGAAGUUCUUUAUGAUGCC